rnacentral:tRNA from 1 species
UAUAGCUUGAUAGUAGAGCGCUUGUCUAGAAUACAGGGGUCCUAGGUUCAAAUCCCAGUA